GACGGAGGAUGCAAGUGUUAUCCGGAAUCACUGGGCGUAAAGCGUCUGUAGGUGGUUUAAUAAGUCAACUGUUAAAUCUUGAGGCUCAACCUCAAAAUCGCAGUCGAAACUAUUAGGCUAGAGUAUAGUAGGGGUAAAGGGAAUUUCAGUGGAGCGGUGAAAUGCGUAGAGAUUGGAAAGAACACCGAUGGCGAAGGCACUUUACUGGGCUAUUACUAACACUCAGAGACGAAAGCUAGGGUAGCAAAUGGG
rnacentral:rRNA from 1 species